rnacentral:misc_RNA from 1 species
GAUGAAGAACGCAGCGAAAUGCGAUAAGUAGUGUGAAUUGCAGAAUUCAGUGAAUCAUCGAAUCUUUGAACGCACAUUGCGCCCCUUGGUAUUCCAUGGGGCAUGCCUGUUCGAGCGUCAUUUGUACCUUCAAGCUCUGCUUGGUGUUGGGUGUUUGUCUCGCCUCUGCGUGUAGACUCGCCUCAAAACAAUUGGCAGCCGGCGUAUUGAUUUCGGAGCGCAGUACAUCUCGCGCUUUGCACUCAUAACGACGAUGUCCAAAAGUACAUUUUUACACUCUUGACCUCGGAUCAGGUAGGGAUACCCGCUGAACUUAAGCAUAUCAAUAAGCGGAGGA